rnacentral:tRNA from 1 species
GCCCGGGUGUUGAAAUUGGUAGACAAGUACGUUUGAGGGGCGUAUGCCGUUAGGUGUGGGAGUUCGAGUCUCCUCCCGGGUACCA